AACGAACGCUGGCGGCAGGCCUAACACAUGCAAGUCGAGCGCAUCCUUCGGGGUGAGCGGCGGACGGGUUAGUAACGCGUGGGAACGUGCCCUUUUCUUCGGAAUAGCUUCGGGAAACUGAAGGUAAUACCGGAUACGCCCUUUUGGGGACAGAUUUAUCGGAGAAGGAUCGGCCCGCGUCUGAUUAGAUAGUUGGUGGGGUAAUGGCCUACCAAGUCUACGAUCAGUAGCUGGUUUGAGAGGAUGAUCAGCAACACUGGGACUGAGACACGGCCCAGACUCCUACGGGAGGCAGCAGUGGGGAAUCUUAGACAAUGGGCGCAAGCCUGAUCUAGCCAUGCCGCGUGAGUGAUGAAGGCCUUAGGGUCGUAGAGCUCUUUCGCUGGGGAAGAUAAUGACGGUACCCAGUAAAGAAACCCCGGCUAACUCCGUGCCAGCCGCCGCCGUAAGAC
rnacentral:rRNA from 1 species